rnacentral:rRNA from 1 species
ACAACGCUGGCGGCGUGCCUAAUACAUGCAAGUCGAGCGAACUUGCGGGAGCUUGCUCCCAAAAGUUAGCGGCGGACGGGUGAGUAACACGUGGGCAACCUGCCUGUAAGACUGGGAUAACUUCGGGAAACCGGAGCUAAUACCGGAUAACUCUUAUCAACUCAUGUUGGUAAGCUAAAAGACGGUUUACGCUGUCACUUACAGAUGGGCCCGCGGCGCAUUAGCUAGUUGGUGAGGUAACGGCUCACCAAGGCAACGAUGCGUAGCCGACCUGAGAGGGUGAUCGGCCACACUGGGACUGAGACACGGCCCAGACUCCUACGGGAGGCAGCAGUAGGGAAUCUUCCGCAAUGGACGAAAGUCUGACGGAGCAACGCCGCGUGAGUGAUGAAGGUUUUCGGAUCGUAAAACUCUGUUGUUAGGGAAGAACAAGUACGAGAGUAACUGCUCGUACCUUGACGGUACCUAACCAGAAAGCCACGGCUAACUACGUG